GCAGAGUAGGAAUAUGUGCGUUAAGUGCCGUGCGGACGGGGAGUUGCCGCAUGGACGAAGGAACGCCGCAGAUGGCGCCCCGCGGUAUAUGUUCCGCAUCCCGCUGC
rnacentral:ncRNA from 1 species